rnacentral:SRP_RNA from 1 species
GGGCAAGUCCUACACAACCAGCUCCCCUUGAAUCCUCCAGGGCAGGAAUGCAGCAAAGGUAUUGGGUUGUAGCGGUGUGAUGUAGGUAGCUUGCCCUUU